GAUGAACGCUGGCGGCAUGCCUUACACAUGCAAGUCGAACGGCAGCAUGGAGAGCUUGCUCUCUGAUGGCGAGUGGCGAACGGGUGAGUAAAGCAUCGGAACGUACCGUGUAGUGGGGGAUAACGUAGCGAAAGUUACGCUAAUACCGCAUACGCACUGAGGUGGAAAGCAGGGGAUCGCAAGACCUUGCGCUAUACGAGCGGCCGAUGUCAGAUUAGCUAGUUGUUAGGGUAAAGGCCUACCAAGGCGACGAUCUGUAGCGGGUCUGAGAGGAUGAUCCGCCAGGCAGGGACUGAGACGCGGCCCAGACUCCUACGGGAGGCAGCAGUGGGGAAUUUGGGACAAUGGGGGCAACCCUGAUCCAGCCCUGCCGCGUGAGUGAAGAAGGCCUUCGGGUUGUAAAGCUCUUUCGGCCGGGAAGAAAUCGCACAGGCUAAUACUCUGUGUGGAUGACGGUACCGGCAUAAGAAGCACCGGCUAACUACGUGCCAGCGCCGCGGUAA
rnacentral:rRNA from 1 species